AUUUAACUUAUGGUAUAUUAUAAUCUGCUUUCAGUCCUUGAAAAAAAGGCAAGAUAUAAAUAGAAUAAAUGAACAAAUUGUUAAAUAUAACCCUUUUGUGUUGGUUGAUCUCAUAGCCUGCCAACAGAACUACUCUGUUGGCCAAGAUCUGUCAGCAGAAGAGCCAAAAAAAAAAAGCCAAAAAUCCUCAGGAACAAAGAAGGGAUAGUGUGAGAGCAGUUGAAUUACACUCCUCCAGUCCUGGAACAAGCUAGUAUUCGCCCAGGAUUAGGUUAGCCCUUAGUAAUUUUGAAUUGGUGAAGAGGAUUUGGAAUCAACACAGCUUCAGUUGACUUUGUAUUGCAUUGAACUGGUCCUUGACUAUCUUGGCCAGUUAAAAUUGCAUUCUAAGACUGCAUCCCUAUACACACACCAAGUAUGUCUGACUGAAUUCAGUUGGACUUCAAAGUCACUGUACCAAGGACUGGGCUGUGUGUCCUAUAUGUGGACUUCCCAUAGAUAUCUCAUCUGCUCAUCUGAUUCCAGCAGGUUCUUUUGGGUGCUUUUCUUCCAUCUUGGAUUCAUUAGCUUCCAUGUCUUCAAACUUUACAUUCCUUAAAAAACCCCCAGCAAUUAUCCUUUUGCUGUGACCAUUGUCAAUAUUCUUUAAAUGAAAAACUGUGGCCAAAAUAUGCAUUAAGUCUUUGUGCCAUUCCGACAACGUCUUAUGGCUCUUCACUAUGCAACUGUCUUACUUAUUCUGUUUAAUGUUUAGCUUUUAUUGAUGUAACUUUACAAUCCCUUGCCAUCUGUAAUAGCUUUUAGGCACAAACCCAGUUCCCUAUAUUCUUUAGCAAUUUUGUCUUUAUUCCCACGUUUUUCACUUCUGCAGUAACACCCCCCCCCACACACACACACACAUAACUUUCUUCAAUUAUACACUGUUUUAUCCCUAUUUCUUAAUGGCUGUAUUUUUUAAAACUGAUUAUGCUGCUUGUAUGUAUAAUAUAUGCCAUGUAGUCAUUAUAAAAAAAUCUGCUUCUCUUCUGCAUUCAAAAGUAAGUUGCUGACACACUUACCCAGCUCCAUAUUUAUUUUUAACAGAAAAACAUAUUCUAUGACCUGAUUCCACAAGCUGAGGCACCAUUAUAUUAUAUUUCUAACAGUGUUCCAACAGAAUAAUUGUUCCUUCUCUCAGCCCAAAUACAUUCUUUUGUGCAUUUAUUAAAAUAUUUAUAUCCUGCCUUUUGUCUGGAAUAGGGCCCUUAAGGCAGUUAACAACCAGCAGGUGAAGCACAACAGCCAAAUAAAACAUCAUAAUGCCCUUGACAAAACAGUAAAUAUGAAUCUCAUAAAUCAGAAGCAGAAUUAGAUAAACUUAUUUCAAAAUAAAUUUAUUUCAUAUGAUUUCAAAAUGUGCCCAAUCAAAUUCAGACCCAAACAACAGAGUUUUGUAACUUUUCUAGUUAUAGACAGAACAAGAGAAAGGUUGGCCAACAUAGAUGCUGUGUUUUUCUAUCCUAUCAUGCAUAAUGUAAUUAUUAGCCUUUUGGAAUAAGGUGCUCUCUCUCUCUCUCUCUCUCUCUCUCUCUCUCUCUCUCUCUCUCUCUCUCUCUCUCUCUCUCUCUAUAUAUAUAUAUAUAUAUACACACAUAUUUUAUUUCUACCUCACCACCAUCUCUCCAAAGGGACUCGGGGAGGCCAACAAAAUACAGCAAAGUGUAGAUAAUACAUAAAUAUGAAAUGAUAAAAACCACAGAAUUACAACACACACAUGCAUAAUUACAAUGUAAAACAUUAAAAUUCAUAAAAUGCAGCCAUAGCUGCAGAUAAAAGCCUAGUGCUGAUGUGAUGCCCACAGAAAGUCCUCGGACUAAUUCUUAAAAACCCAUGUAAGCUCAAAGGCUUGCUUUAAAUCCAUCGGUUCAUAGAAGGAGAUGCGGUCUCAAAGAUAGGUUGGACCCAAAGCAUAUAGGUUCAAAUCUUCACUCAGUUAUGGAUCUCAUGCAAUGAGGUCAGGGUUACCGAAUUGUAUUGCUUGCAACCAUUCUGUCUCUGGUCCCAGAAUCCACUAGGACAGACUCUGGCUUCAACUCAGGACCAAACUCAGAGUCUUCUGGCAAAACUGGCUGUAUCUCAGGCCCAAACCCAGAGUCCUCUGGCAAGGUUGGUGCAGGGACAAUCACUGGCUGAAUGAGCCCAAUCUCAAGCUGGGCUACAACAGACAUUGCCCAGGGGACACCUGGAUGUUUUCAUGUUUUUACCAUCCCUGUGGGAGGCUUCUCUCAUGUCCCUGCAUGGAGCUGGAGCUGAUAGAGGGAGCUCAUCCACGCUCUCUCCAGGUUGGAUUCAAACCGGCAACCUUCAGGUCAGCAUCCCAACCUUCAAGUCAUCAUUCCUGCUGGCACAAGGGGCUCCACCCCCACAGUGAUGCUACAGCUCCAGUUGCUUACCCUUCACCCCAUCUAAGCAAGCAUAUGAAACCGCUUCCAGCAAAACCAAAACUCCAAGAUUUCAAUUUUUUCCUCCCCUUCACAACCUCUUCCAAGUAGGAAAUCCCCUUCCUCAAAAAGACAGGAAGAUUUAAAUUAUCUGCUCCCCUUCAUUCUAUGCCUUUUAGGCAGGUAAUAGUAAUCCUUUGCAUUGGCAAGAUGGCAGUUGCUUCCCCCACCCUUCUUCCAACAUAGGCAGAUAAAAGAAAACCCAGCCCAGUUACAUUUUCUUACUAUCCAAAACUCCAAGCAAUCUUCAAUGUUGUAAACUGAAGCAACUAAAACUGUGACUCCCCCAUAUUUGUUUCCUGGCCAAAUAUGUAUGGUGUCAUAGCAGGAAUUGGUUUAACACAGAAGUAAGAUUUUUGCACUAUUUUCACCAAAUGAAAUUGCAUGCUGAAUUAUUCUGCCCAUAAAUGCACAUGCAUUCUUUGUAAAAACAAUUGUGCCUUUUUUUGUCCAAAAUCCCCAUGUUUUUUGUGCAUGGGAUAGCCACAGAGCUUGAAAGGUUACUUUUUAAAAGGAAUUAAUCCUCCCAAUCAUUAUACUGUAGGUUUUUUUUAAGUAGCUCACUGAUGAGGAAAACUGCAUUAUUUGUUGGCAUUUCUCAUUGUUUCUCAUUUAGCUUCUCUUACAUUUUUGAGGAAAAUCUCCUAAUAUAAAUAAGAAAUUUGAGGGAAAUUCUUGUCAAAUUAUCUCUAGAAAUAACCAUUAAAAUGACUUUGAAAGGAAAAGGAUGGUAUUGAUACUGCUCUGUGGAGAGCUUCAACAGAGCUCCACAAUCUUGGCUGGUAUUUUUCAUGUCAGGAGUAUAGAGAAUUAUUGCUGGGUCUUAAAAUGAGCUCUCCAAGGUGCUGGACCUAUUUGGGUAGCUGAGGUUCAGCACCUUAGAUUGUUUCCUUAAAAUCAGGAUUAAACCACAAAUUGCCUUCCCAUGCAUACUAGAAGCUACUGUUAAAGCUCCACAAAGUCUUACCAGUCAUAUCAUAGAGCAGGCUUGACAACCCUCUCAAGGCUUCAAUGUGGCCUGCAGAGGCUCUGAGCAGAGUAGCAAUCAGAACUCAUCAUUCCCUCCUCCAAGUGUUUUAACUCUACAAGUUUCCUUUCUGUAUGUACCAAAGGUACAAAACUAACCUGUGUCAAAGUGGGCACCACCAAUAGAUCUAGUCAGGAUGCUGGAAGUGCUGGUCUCAGUUGGAAACACAGCCUGGGGAGGUUGUUGGACUAAGGUUGGAAUAUUGGGGUGCAUUGAUGAAGUACAGUAGAGUCUCACUUAUCCAACAUAAAAGGGCCAGCAGAACAUUGGAUAAGCGAAUAUGUUGGAUAAUAAGGAGAGAUUAAGGAGAAGCCUGUUAAACAUCAAAUUAGGUUGUGAUUUUACAAAUUAAACACCAAAACAUCAUGUUACACAACAAAUUUGACAGAAAAAGUAGUUCAGUAUGCAGUAAUUCUACAUAGUAAUUACUGUAUUUACGAAUUUAGCACCAAAAUAUCACGAUGUAUUGAAAACAUCGACUACAAAAAUGCGUUGGAUAAUCCAGAACGUUGGAUAAGCGAAUGUUGGAUAAGUGAGACUCUACUGUAUUAAGGGGUAUCGGACUUUUAUUCAGGGAAAUUGGAAUCUUGUGCUCCAGGUUAUGUUAAAAGUUAACAUUAGAUUGGUCAUUUUAGAGGAGGAAGGAUUGGUAAAGAAGAAGGGCCUCUGUUCUUGCUUCUGCUGCUCUUCCUUUCUCUUUGCCUCUGCUGUCUCCUCAUCCAGCAGCAAAACCACCAACUCCACACCAUUUCCUUGUGAGGGAGAAAUUUGGCUACAGUGCCCCUCCUUUCUCUUUUUCCUCUGUGUUGCCUCUGUCACCUCCUCCUCCUCUGAUGGGAAAAACAGCCAACUCCCUGCUCUUCAUUUCCCUCCCUUGUGAAGAAGGAACGUAGCUUCAUUGUGAAGUUGUUGUGAGGUCUUCCUAGCAAAGCAAACAGCACAGAGUUGGCAGUUUUUCCUCCCUUAAGAGAAGCAGACCACAGAGGCAACCUAGAAAAGGACUUCAACUCACCACCACCCUGAGGGGAGGAGGGAAAUGGAAGCGAAUCCUUUUUGUUCUGAGGGAAAGGCGCUCUCUCGGAAACCCGGCAUGAGACACUAAAAACCUGUCUGUGGCCCAAAGAGGUUUAGUCUAUUUAAUUUUGAUCCCUUAUUAUUGCCAAGUUGUGCAGGCCUGCCAUAAAGUUUCAGAUUCUGAAUGUGUAGUCCACUAAGCAAGCACAAAGGAAGAUGUCAAGCUGGGAGAAAUCCCAGGUAGUUGUUCACAUAUUCUAGUUCACUACUGAAAUGACAACAAAUUGUGUGUUGUCAUACUAAUGCUAUAGCCCUUCAGAUCACAACAGGGGAGCACAUUUCCUCUCAACUCGGUAUCUUGCCAUCUUUCUUUAAUCAUCCUGAUUCUUUCAUCUUGCUUAUUUUGCAGUCUCCAGAAAAAUGGCUUGUCAGAAGUGAAGGAGGAUGACGUACAUGAUACAGCAAUCUUUAAAAACAAAGCAAAACAUAGUAUUUGUGCUUUGUUCCAUAUGGCAUAGCUGCCAUGAUUAAACAAUUAGCAAAUUCACCAAGAGGUUUGGGGUUUUGCCCUCCUCAUGAUCAAAAUGUUACGCAGGUUUUAUCUAUUUGUGGAUAUAACUAUGUAACCAACUGGAACAGCUCUGUAUACUUGCUUUCUGAUGCAUCCUUUAUAAUGUGAGAAAAAAUAGAAUAUGACAAUUUGUUUAAUAUUUUAGGUAGGGUUCAUGGUGGAGGAAGAAUAUCUCUUUUCAGUGUGUAAAUUCCCUUUCUGAGAAUGAGAGGACUAAAAUGGUUAUUUUAGUACACAGCUUUCAUGUUAUGCUCUUGCUCUGCUAGUUUGGCUCUUCCUCUUCUUAGUUUCCCUUUCAAGCUCAUUAAGUUUUUUCUUUGUCAGAUGAUGACUCUGUGUGACAUAUGGGUAGCUGAACAUGCUAUUCAACAGAUGCCCAUGUCAUUAAAAUGUACCAUGGGUAUGGUAUGCUUUGUGGUUAGUUUCUUGGUGAGUUUGCUACUGUAUUUUUUAUGGUUGUUCCACUCUAGCCUCAAGCAACUUGAUCAGAUGUGUAAGAUCCGUCCCUUCUUUGUCUUUAUUUCUCUUGUACCUCAAUUCCAGCUGUCUUCUCAUCAAAUUCUAGUGAUGAUGUCACAAAACUCAGUAAGGAAGAAGGUUGUUGGUUCUGCACUAGCAUUUAUUAUGAGCAGGGAACAACAGUUUCUUUUAUAGUGGGAAUAUCUGAGCAGGUCCUUCUCUCUGUCCCACCAUAUCACAGGUUCAUAGGUACAGAUGAGGCCUUUUCUCUGUCCUCCCCAAAACUCUGGAAUUCUAUUCCUGGAGUGACUGGCACCUUCUCUCCUAUCAUUUUGCAGGCUGCUAAGGACUAAGAAGUAAUUGCUCAAAGCUUACAGAGCAGGGAUUCCUCAGAGCAGGUUUCAGCACUAGAACUGUGUAGUGCACUGUCUGUCAGUCAGUCCACCAGCAACCAUGGAGUCCCUACUGCUUACAAGACAAUUCCAGCUGCUCGCCGUGUAGUGUGCUGUCCGAACUAAUCAAGAGGCUGUGCAGAUCCUGAACCUGUGCUUGGCAGCUGUGUCGGACUGGACAAGGGCGAACAAAUUGAAAUUGAAUCCAGACAAGACAGAGGACCUCCUGAAGGUCCAGAUGGAUGCAAGCUGUUUCGACGAUGUGUGAUGUGUGACCAUGACUCCAUUUAAAAAAUCCUUCUGCUAAGCAUGAGAGGAAUAAACCAGUCAAGGCAGGUGGGGAGAAAUAAACUGGAGCACAGAUUCUAUAUAGGUGGGCACUCUAUCAAGGUGGAGAUACGAUUCCUGUAAGCUGCAGUCAUCACCAUUCUUCACUGCUCUUGUAGUAUCAUCCCUUUCUAACUGCAUCCUUGAUAAAACCAGGCUCCUCACACAGUCAUUUUGCUAUGUUGUUCCCUGACUUUAGGAGUUUAGCUACAGGGCAUGUCAAAGGAAGGCAUUACCCUGCCCCAAGAAGAAUUUUGCUCCCACAAAUGAAAAUACAGUACAAUCUCACUUAUCCAACAUAAACGGGCUGGCAGAACAUUGGAUAAGUAAAAAUGUUUGAUAAUAAGGUGGGAUUAAGGAAAAGCCUAUUAAACAUCAAAUUACGUUAUGAUUUUAGAAAUUAAGCACCAUAACAUCAUAUCGACAGAAAAAGCAGUUCGAUACAAGGUAACCCUAUGUAGUAAUUACUGUAUUUACGAAUUUAGCACCAAAACAUCACAAUGUAUUGAAAACAUUGACUACAAAAAAUUGACUACUAAAAGGCAAACUGCAUUGGAUAAUACAGCAUGUUGGAUAAACGAAGGUUGGAUAAGCGAGACUACUGUGUCCUUCAGCCCCCAAUUUCUAGCAUUGCAGAAAGUAAGAGUUCUAUUUCUCAUUCCCCAGGCAAAUUUAUCCGGCUCUUUUAUUUGAAUGCCUGAACUCUAUUUCUAAGAGCCCAAUUGAAAGUUUAAGUUACUGCAAUGCAGAACCUGGGUUCCAAAAUUCUUAUCGAGGGAAUGCCCUCAUUUUGCCCCUACACCCCUGUCAGGACUGACCCUGUUUAGCAGCAAAGACCAGGAAAGAUCUGGGGCUUCAGACUGAUGACAAACCAUCAUGAUAAUGGAAGACGAUAUAGGGUAGAGAAACCUUUUAGGGCAGACAUUCAAAGAUGUAUAGCAUGCCCCAGGGUAGAAAGAUAAAAGAUUGAGGACAAGAUGGAAGGGACAUCAUUGUCUGUUUUCUUCACUCAUUGAUGUGCAAAGAAUACUGGUUUUAUCGUGUAUGUGUGUGUGUGUGUGGGGGGGUGUCAGUUAUUUCAGAAAUUUGUCAUAUCUGUUGUACAUGCAGGGAGGUGGAGAAGAGAAGGAAAAAAGACAAGAAGAAGAAGAAAGGAAAAAGAGGAGGAACAAGGAAAGGGCAAGUUUGCCGUGUGCAUACGCCGUGAAAUCCUACAACACCCACCUUCAAUUUUCUUUUGUCUUCACACUCAUGUAAAUUUUAUUUGUGGUAUUAUAAUGUUUGUUAAACUUGCCUCCCUUUCUUUCAGUUUCUAACCUGGUCCAACUAACUCCCAGCCUCUCUCUUCAAUACAUGUUGAAAAGGACAAAUGCCAAGAGCCAAACAUAUGCUUCAGGAAUACCAAAUAUGUCAGGUUUAAAACACCCCGCCCUUAUAUGCCUGUUGGCUUCCUUGUUAAGUGCAAAGGCUCAGAUGGGACCUGCUUGAGGAGAACGGAAGCAACUUGAGGCUAUGAGAUACAUUCUUUCAAGCUCUUGCCAAGCCUCCAUUCCAGCUGGGCAUUUCAGUCUUGUUGCAAUACCAAGUUAAGACCAUGCUCACUAAAAAUUAAUGAGGUGGAUGAGGAUGUGGCAGCAGGCACAAGGGAUGUACAGAAUCCAGAAGAGCCUUCAGCAGGAAAUAAGCAAUGAAAUAUCCAUAUGGCUGGAAUCUUAUGACAUUGAGUUGCAAAAUACAGGUUAGUGAAUUUAAUUUGUUCCCAGGCAUUAUAUUUUCAAUAGCAAAGUUGAUUGCAAAGGCAAAUAUAAAAUUAGAAGAAUCAAGAUAAUAUACACCGAAAAAAAGGAAAGAGAAGUUCGAAGUGUUUCAGCAAUAUUUUAUUAAAAACUAACAAUGUGCACAUAUGAGAUGAAAUACCAACAAGAAGUAAGCUUUAUAUGUGAAGGAGAUUGGUGAGGCAGACUUUCUCUUUGUUUUGUUGUUUGCAUAAGCUCAAUAGAGGAUUCAGAGGGUAACUGCUGUUUUCCAUGACUGUUCUAAGCAGGCAAACAUAGUUGCACUAGGACUGGUUAGUUAGAGUAGGAACACAUUCUUUCACUGCUCAAGCUUCAUUACUUCAUUUACUGUAGGCACACGGCUGAAGUCUAAUACCAAGAAUCUAUUUUUCUCCAGACUUUGUUCACUAUCCUUGUUCUCUGCUGCUCUAAAAACUGAGACAAUUGAUUUAAAAUACAAGAAAAGAAAUUUCAACUCAACAUUAGGAGGAAUUUCCAAACACAAAGGUGUGGUGAGCAGUAAAAUAGAUUGCCUUGGGGGAUAAUGGGUUCUCCUUCUUUGCAGGUCUUUAAACAUAAGUUGGAUGGGCAUCUCCCUGAAUUCUUUAGAUAUGUACAACUGUGCAUGGCAGGCCAUGGGACUCAAUGGCCUUUGCAGUGCCUUCCAGCUCUCAAACUCAUCCUUGAGGUAUCAGCCAAGUGGACAUUGCAGAAAGCACAUAGAGGUGAAUUUUUGAGAAAUGCCUCCUGUUACACCCACAGAAGUGGCAGAUUCGCUUAACUUUCCUUUCAUCACGUCAUAGCCCAAAUUGAUUAUAAUAAAUACUGCCUGUUUUCCCUAGCCAGCCAAUAAAUACAGAGGUCUUCCUAGUCCAUGACUCAAACACCAGCUGUUGCUCAUUCCUGGAGUCCCCUACUUUUUCCAUCUCUCAGCUAUACAAGUCACCAAUUGACGCAAAUCCUCCCACCCCACAAAACUCAGAGACAAAUUUAGAACAUUGUUAUUGACAAUAGCAGGGAGGAAUUGGACACCCCCAGAUGCAAAAAUGUACACUGUUGGCUCAGUUCAGUAACCCCUUCCCUUUCUCAUCCCUAGCUUUGUUAGAGGAAGACAUUAUCUGGUGGGGAAGCUAUUCCAGCUCUGUCUUGAGGAUGCCAGCACAACACUGGGGACAUUGAGAUCCAACAUUGUUUCACUGUAGCUUCACUGUCAAUGCAAUUAUGUUCGCAAUCCAUAUACUGAAUGCUAACAUAUGUGGAUCAAUGACUGUCAAACCACUGUACAUUUGCAAUGCACAAUAUAGAAAUGCACUGAAUCAAUGUGCAUUCACACCCUGUUCUAAGUAUUUUAAUGUACUACAGUGUGUGCAAUAAUCCAAUAUGGCAAACUCCUCUCACACCACAAACUGGAUAAAACUAUUAUGCAUUGUCCAAAAAAUAAAAACUGAAACCACUCCACGUGCCACAUUUACGAGCCUUGUUGUAUUAGAUAUGCACAGGAUAGCAACUGUCUUGGACCAUACCUCUGGGUUUAAGCUGGUGUAUGAAAUACCACUGCCAUGAUUUAGAAGCCCUGUAAUAGUCUGGCUACAGAGCUGGAGGCUAAUAGAGAACACAGGAUUCUACCUCUGAGCCAGCAAAACCUUGAGCUGGCCAAACCUGAACCCAUGAGAUCUGAAACCUACCUGUAAGAAACUUGGAAUCUAUUGUGCUUUGUCCCAGUACCAAGAAACAACCCGCAUCAAGAAAUCCUAUGAUCACAGGAACAAGAACACAACUAGUAUGUUUAGCAAGAACUCCUGGACAGGCAACAAAGUGCCAGGCUGCAUGCCUGAGCCUCAGGUCAGUUUCAGCCAUCCCCACAACAAUAUAUUUAUUUGUUGCUAUCUUUGAAGCUGCACCUUCUUGCUACCUGCUCUCGGGUAUCCAUCACUGGCUUCAACAUUAAAGGCAUAAACCUCAUAUGUACUGAGGAAGGGGUUGUGAAGGGAAAAUGAGAUGGUUGCUCUAGGCUGAUCCAUUUGCUUGUUUUAGUCUGGUAAAAUGUCUGGAAGUAAGUGCUUCAUAUCAGUUUCACUAAUGUGAAUAUUUUGUUUGGUUGUACCUUCAUGUGUAUGCAUUAUGUCAUGCUAAAUAAUAAACAUUCAUGUUUAUAACAUUACAUGAAAUGCCCUGGAGAACCAGAGGCUGAUCAGAAGGCUGUCUCCGUGACUUUCUAGGGCACCAUGCAGAGGGGGAUGAUUUGAUGCUUAUAAAGCCAGGAGGAGGUUUUAAUAGACUACCCAGUUGAGCAGCCCUUAAUGCAUCAACAGCAGGACUUUGACAAGGAAAGGGGCAGGAAACAUGCCAGAAUAAAGGGAGGAUUCGAUGUAUCCAAUAAGUAACCAGAGUGAGAAGACUGAUACCUAUUCAGAUGGGCCUGGAUAUAUUGUCACCUUUUGACUUUUUCUAGGUGGCCAUUGUUAUGAAGAUAAUUUUACUUUUCUUUCCAGUCUUUGCUGUGCCUCUGUGGUGUACUAAUAUAAAAAUUAAUAAUAAUACCAUUUAUUUGUUACCCGUUUCUCCUCAAGGUAGGGUACAGCAUAGUUAAAAUCUUUAUACAGUAUAUAAAAAUACAGUCUGCAUAUGUUUGUGCAGGCAGAACUCAAAAAAGUAAUUGGUCAGCUAGUUUAGCUAGUACAUAGAUUUAGCUAGUACAUAGAUAAAAAUGUUUAUUUUUUUAAAGGUUGGGUGCUCACUCCACCAUGGGCUGGUCUCGAACACAUGACCUCUUCAUCACAGUGAUUUAUUACAGCUGGCUACUAACCAGCCUGCGCCACAGCCCGUGAUAUAGAAUUAAGAUUAAAACACAUCAAAGUCAUUCAUCCCAAUAAAAUGUAAAUUUACAUGUAUAGUUUAAAAAUGAGUGAAUAGGCCUGCUGGAUGAGCAAUGACAUAAUACAAAAAACUCAAGCAGAGUACAGUGAAACUAUGGAACACUUAAAUGUGGGCUUUAAAGCAUGUAAGUGUGACUGAUUGUGUAUUAUAAGAGAUGGAUAUAAUAGAUUACAAGCCCAGUUACUAAACUCCUAGCCAAUCUUCCACAAACAUCACUCACAACAUCACUGGGAUCCUGUCAAUAUUAUGGCAACCACUAUUCUGCCAUGUACAAAUGCCAGUCUUAUGGGCUUCUGUAAUCAAGUCUAGAUUUUCUCACGUCCUAUCAGUAUAGGGAAUUCCUAAAGCAAAAAGGAUAAGUAUUUUUCUAACCCUACUAUGGCCAUCCAGUAUAGUUACUCUUACUUUCUUGCCAUCAGCUCAUAGUACUAGCUGACUAUAUUCUGCUAGCAGAAAUAUCAAAUUUCUUUAGAGUACCUGUCAAUCUAGCCUGCUGAUCUCAAUUCUGCUGGAGGAGAUUGUCAUAUUGCCAAUGCUGAAGAAAGUUUAAACUGCUAGUUGAGACAAUUAUCUAUGCCAAGUAUGUUAGAGGGGCCUAGGGAGUCUUCUGUUUCACCUCAGGCCACAAUAUGUCUUGAGUCAGUUCUAAUGAACUGGACUUCUCCCACAACUUACUUGUGCAGGUGUAAAGCCCUGUUGAACUUUGGGUGUCAGACUGAGGCCAUCAGUUUGACAUGGGGCUGUGUAAUUAAUUAGUUUCCUGAAAGAUCCUUUCAAAAUCAUUGAAGAAAAUGGUUUAUGGGUUUUCCAGAAUGAAUGUCAGAUAAUAUUAAAACUGUAUAAAAUAGAACUAGGCCAUAGGCUGCCCAUUGGCAACCCUGAACUGGUCCAACUCUCAAAUAAAAACUAAAGAACUUCCACCUGUCAAGAGCGGUGCAUAUUGGUUGUUUUAUUUCAGGCAAUAAUAUGUCAUGAAUCAAAAGAAAAAAAUGUCAAAACUGAGCAAGGAUGCAAACUACAAAGCCCACUAAGGAAAAGCAGCUUCUUGACAUAUUAGUAUAAUAAACUCAUCACUUCCAAUAGCUCUGCCUCCAGUAACUUUAAGCAACUUGGAUAUGCAUAAAAGAGUGAUUACAGACACUGCCAGAAGUGCUAAUUAAAAACCAUUAACUCGCUUCCAUAAACAUGUGAACACUUCUUUUCAAACAAUGAUGGACCUUAGCUCUGUGAAAUGAUAUAAUCCAUUACCAAACUAUUCAAGCCCAAAAUUAUGAUCUUAUAAAACAUCUCCUUGCUCUAUAGAAACAUAACUUUCCGGACUAUUCUAAAAAUGCAAUGUGAAACAGAGUGUUUAUUACCUCCAAACUGUCUCCCUAGUCAAAUAACCUGGAUAGCUGGAGUGACAGCCCCGCUGGGUUAAAAAUGCUGCUGGAUGCCAGGUCAGUAAAUUUAAAAACAAGGGCCACGCAGGGGCUGAUUCUGGAUGAGCAUUCUCUUUGGACCUGUACUACAGAUACGUGGUUGAAUGAAACUUUCUCAGCUCUGCCCUCCAGGUUUUUCUGUGCAGCAGCAGGUGAGACCUGGGUGGAGGGGGUAAGGUGGAGCUCCAGUGGUCUAUUGUGAUUCCACCCCCUAGACAGUCUAGACACCCCCUAGACCUCACAGUCUGCAGGGUUUGAGUGUGUAUACCUAAAGGUGGAUAGACAGGACAGAAUAGGAAUUUUGUUGGUGUAUCACCCACCCCAUUGCUCAAGUCUCCCUUCCCAAGCUAGCAGGGGUGGUCCUGGAGUUAGUGUUGGAGUCUCAGUGGAUACUAGUGCUGGGAGAUUUCAACAUCCAUGCUGAAACUGCACUGUUGGGAAUGGCUCAGGACUUCAUGGCCUCCACAACAGCCAUAGGUCUGCCCCAAGUGUGUAAUCCUACUCAUGCUGCUGGGCACACUCUGGACCUUUCUGUGCUGGAUGGGAUGAUGGUCAUUGCUUUAUGGAGGAAUUCACUAGUCCUGUUGUCAUGAACAUGUUAUUACUUGGUCAGGUUUAGGCUCAGUGGGACUUAAAACUUCUGUAGAGGUGUGGGACCAAUUAGGAUGAUUUGCCACAGGAGGCUGAUGAAUCUGGGUGGAUUUCUGAUGGCUCUUGCAGAAUUUCCUGUCACAUUGGCAGGUUAUCCUGUUGAAGUUCUGUCUGAACUCUGGAAUAGAGAAAUGGCCAGGGUAAUGGACAUUGAGCAUCCUCUCUUAUGAAGUGGGUUCAAACCACCCCCUGGUUUCCUGGAGGGACAAACCCAGAAGGUGGUGCUGGAGGAUUCCUAUUCAAGCCACUGACUCUUGGCCUGUGGGGUCAGGGCUCUGUUUUCUCCCCUCUUCUGUUUAACAUAUACAUCAAACUACUUGAAGGGACCUUUUCAAGAGUAGUACCAUUUAUAUGGAGAUGACACCCAACCCUAACUACUUCUUUCCACCUCAAGCCAAGGCAGCUGUCUUGAUCCUAAACCAGUAAUGGGCUGGAUGAAAGAAAAAAAAAUUGAAACACAUGCCAGACAAGUUAGAGGUGCUCCUGAUCAGUUGCAAGGCAAAUCAGGAAAUAGUGAUUAUACUCCACAUGAAGUCACGGGGCUACAAUAUGGGGGUGCUCCUGGACUCGCCAUUGAAUUCAGAUGCCCAGCUUUUUUUGGUAGCCAGAAGUGCCUUUGCACACUUAAAACUUGUGUGCUAACUGCAUCUGUUCCUUGAGACGUCUGAUCUGACCAUGGUGGUAUGUGCAUUGGUUACAUUCUGUUUGGAUUACUGGAAUGCAUUCUAUUUGGGCUGCUUUUGAAGAGUGUUUGGAAGCCUCAGCUCAUCCAAAGAGUUGCAACCAGAUUGUUAACUGGGACUGGCUACAAGAAGUGCACAACUUCCCUGUUGCAAUGGCUCCACUGGCUGCCAAUCUGUUUCUGGGCAAAAAUCGGAGUCCUGGUUUUGACCUAUAAAGCCCUAUAUGGAUUGGGUCCAGUCUAUUUGGCAGAUUCUAUCUCCUAACACAAAGUUGCUCAAGCCCUGAGAUCCUCAGGAAAGGCCCUUUUCUCAGUCCCACCACCAUUGCAAGCACAAAUGGUGGGAAUGCAAGAGAGGGCCUUCUUGGUGGCUUCCCCUUGACUCUGGUCCCUCCCUGCUGGCCUUCCAGCGGCAGGCUAAAACUAGUUUUAUUUGGGCAGGCAUUUAAAGAAAAAAGUUUUUCAGAACCUGGUGUGUGUGCACGCAAUAUAUGGAAUUUGAUUGUUUAACCAUUUUUAAUUGUUUGAGCCAUUUUAAUUUACUAUUGAUUAAUUGAUUAAUGUUUAAAUCUAUUUUAAUAUUUGAAUGUUGUGGGUUUUAAAUUGCAUUGUUUUAAUGUUAUGAGCCACACUGCAUCUCAAUCAAGAGACAAAAGCAAAAUAUAAAUUACAUUACAACAAAUUACAACCUCAUUCUUACACUAAUUCUAGUUGAUCUGUUUUCCAUAAAAGGGGAACAAUACUUUUUUUUGGGAAAGAGUUGGAAUCUGUUAAGAGGUGUUUGCACACUAAAUACCAUUUUUACCUGAGAUUAUACAAGUUUUCAUUAAAAGAAGCCCUACCACAGCUGUUUCAUGAGCAGGAACAUUAUAAUGUAUAUGGAUGUGGUAGGAAGUGUGCCUCUCCCAAGCAACUUUUCAUUCUCUUAAAAUUUAUUCUCUGUCAAAAUCUAUUGCCUUGCAAUUUUUCAAAGCAAGAGAUCAAAAGCAAAACAUGGCAUUCUUACUGCUGCCUUGGACUGAAUGAAUACUUGGCAUUUCCCUUUCUAAUAAUUCAGGGCUGUAUUUGCUUUCUGAGCGACUGUAUCAAACUGAUAGCUCACAAUAUUGUUGUGAUUGACCAGGAAACAGACCUUACAUAAUGUGUGUCUGAGGAAUUCUGAGCCGAAACAUUCAAUUCAGAAUUAUUCCACUGCAAUUUUAUUUUGGCUCCUGAAGGGAAAUUUUGACACAACCACCUGGCAGUCUGGGUGCCGUUCCAUACUCCCUUCUCACCAUUGUCAGCCUUUCUCAACACAUUGACUUUCAUGAUGCUGACCUAUGUAGGCCUUUGACAAAUGCCAAUGAUGACUGGAAUUGACAUCUAUAGUAUCGCAUCUAGAAGCUCUUGCUUGUAUAUUCCGGUCACAGCAUUUGAGCUCUUGGUCAGGAAGUGAAAGAGGCUUUAAUCUUUUCCACCCGAUUGACCAUUACGUCAAAAUGAAAUUAGAGUCACAGCUUUUUAUGAAGCUUUUUCAUUCUUGCUAAUUGAUUUCACUGCCACCACCGAACAAAUACAUAGAAAUGUAAUUAGUCAAAAUGCAACAUUCUGUGCAUGUGUGUCCCACACACCUACCUACCUCUACUCCUACCUCUUUCCAUCCUUAUGAAAGAAAAGGAAACAGCAUGAUGAUCCAGAACUACCUAAUGGAUUAUUGAGAAGGGAAGAGAAAUAAGAGAUACAACCUGCUGUCCUGAGGACAAACAAAUGACAAACAGGAUACUUUCACAUAUCACACUUUACCCUGUAUAGGGGUUGAAUGUUUGCUGUAUAUGUGUUCUGACAUCAUCCCUGAGUCCCCUUCGGACGGAAUAUAAAUGCUGUAAAUAAAAAUAAAAUAAAUAAACAAUGGCUAAGUGUUACCCUGUUGAUCUUCCUGGAUCUCUCAGUAGCCUUUGACAUUAUUAAUCAUGGUAUCUUACUGAAAUAGCUCUGUGAGAUGUUAAUAGAGGGCUUUGUCUUACAGUGGUUCGACUUCUAUCUCCAGUUCCAGAGGGUAGCACUGGGAGAAUGCCUUCACUGCUGUCCUUCCGAUGGGCUAAAACAGACUUUUGAAGAUGGUGAUUUUUAAGUUCAAGUCAAGGGGUGCUUUGGUUUUUAAGUUUGGGUAUGUUUUAAUGGAUUUCAACUGUGAUUUUUUAAUAUUGUUUAUAUUUAAUUCUGUUUUAAUGUUUGCAUAUUUGUAUAUUUUAAAAUGUAUGCUAAUGCUUUUAUGUUAAGCUGCUUUCAGUCUCCUUCAGGAGAGAUAAAGCGGGGUAUAAAUAAAUAUAAUAAUAAUAAUGCUGUUCAGCCCCAUGGCCAUUAAUCACAGAGUUUCAUCUUCUCCCUCGUGUUCUCUAAUACUGUAUCUCCACAAAGCUGCUGGGCAAAGUCAUUAGGGCCUUAAUGGCACUCAGCUCUGUUCUUCCUUGUCAUCAGGGUCAGCCGGGACUGUGGAGUUGCUGGGCCAGUGCUUGGAUGCUGUAAUAGGCUGAAUAAAGGCCAACAAACUGAAGGUGAAUCCCAGUAGAAUGGAAGUUUUUGUCAUUAUGAAUUGGUGGUUCUUCAGGUCCAGGAAUUGGGUAAACACUAGUCUGGAUGUGGUUGUACUUUUGAAAGAGCAAGUAUACUACUGAGAAUAUUCCUAAAUCAAUCCCUGUUACUGGAGACCCAGUUGGACUCUGACUAUGAGUGCUUGAUGCCAGUUUUCAUUUGUGCUAUCAAUUCCCAGUGAGGAAACGCCAUUCAAUUUGUGUUCCAGUAAUCUCCCGCUUGUUUAUUAUCCGGGGACCAAUCCAAAACAGGUCUAUUUUUACAAGCCUUUGAGACAAAAACAAAUGUUUUGUUUGUUUUCUACUCCUGCUGGUUUGAAUAAAUUGCAUUUUGGCAGAUGUAUGUAAUUUA